UUGCGGCCUUCAUGGUGUGGCUAAUGAAUUGCAUACCUUAGUAUUUGCUUCUGCAAAUUUGUGCAGCAGUCCACAGUUGUCGAGGAAGGAGGAAGGUGCAGCAUUGAGUGAAGGAGGAACGAUAAAGCAAGCAUAUGUGUAUAGUAAGAGGCUGAAACCUAUCAAGAGAAAUUUUACUAAGAGCCUUUCAGAAAAGCGAUUCCCCUCCAAGAUAUGCAGAUGUACUGCUGAAGACUAUAUUCCCAGGGGAGAAAGGUGUCUUUCCUUGGUGUGAAUUUAUGGCUGCAAAGUUUGGCUUGUUCCUGUGCGGAUGUUUGUGAUGUGACUUACAGGAUAUCAGCAGUCAAGGGACUGAAGUCACAUUGUCAUUUAACUGCAGAAGCGAAGUUAAAUUGUCAUCUUCUUAUAAGGCUGUAAGAAGGUCUAAAUGAGGAUGGACCCAGACUGGACAAAUGAUAUCUACAUGUGGUGAUAUUAAACACGACACUGUGAGGACUUGGAGCAAUGCUGACACUCAAAGGCAUUUCCUUCCUUUUAUUAUUAAAUUUAGAAUGGGAAAAUAGAAGACAACACUUAAUAGAAGCCCUGUUAACCGUAGGCUUCUGAAUGAAUGUUGUCCAUUGUGUUCUGAACAACUAUUCUAAAAGUAGGCCCAUAUAUGAAGGUCUGCAAAUGGAGGACAAAAGAAUCAACUUCUAUUAUUAAUCUCUGUGGGGCAAUAUAUAUCUUGAAUUUUAAGAAAUGAGGUCUUGGACUCAAGCAUUAGGCUGACAUUAUAAUGCAACUCGUUUCUCCCUCUGGGUUCACCUUCUCUCUGAUCUUAUUCUCAGGGAGUCUGGAUGUGCUCCAGUUUUUGUCCAAUGGGGAAAAAGUGUAUUGUCCUGUAUACAAGUGGGUUGGGUGCUAGACAACAGUAACUGCAGCUCCUCAUAAGGAUUUACUUUGCACCUGAGUUCACAUGCAUCCAUCAGGUAAUGUAGCCUUCUUAUUUCACUGCUGUUUAUAACUUGCAUUCUCAUAUCAUCGCACUUUUAGCAAAGUUGCAUAGCACAUUAAAACCUGAUCUCAGCUGUGCUCUGGGGAAUGAAUGAGAAGGCAUGGAUGCAGAGAAGACAAUCAUAUUCUCCUGAUUUUUCUCUCAGCUCUCUGGCAGUUCCUUCUGCAUCCUCUUUACCGGGUCCUUGUCAUCUCCCUGGCUUUACACAAGUUAAGCUCAUAAACUUCUCAUUUUAUCUGCAUUCCCUUCCUUUCUUGGUAAUCUCACAGAGUCUCAUGCCUUUAAAUACAGUCUUCUCAAUUUCUAUGGAUGAUAAGUCCAAUCUUAAAACUGCAGCAAAAAUAUUGAAAUCAAACAUACUCUUUCCCCCCUUUCAAGUUAUUUAUCUGAUCUAUCGGUAAAUUCCAUUGGUUUUUACCUUCAAAGUAUAUUAUAUUAUUAUGCAGUUACUCCUCACUACCUUCACUGUUAUCAAUGGAGUUUAUGUAACCAUCUUCUCUUCCUUUAUUAGUCCAGUAGUUUCUCUGUUUUGCCUUUGUUCUCUUCUUUAUAUUCUCACAGAGAAGCUAGAUUGAUCUUCUUAAGGCAAAACAACACAUAUAUCACUUCUCUGAUGAAAAUGGCUCCAUCUCAUCUAGAUAAAAGCCAAAGUCCCCCAUGGCUGGCAAAGCCUUGUGUAAUCUGGAUCCCGAUUUAUCUGACCUCAUCUUUCUCUACUCAUUCCCAGCUCAUUUUGCUCCAACCACACACACUUCUUUGCUAUUCCUUGAACAUAACACAUGUGCUUUGGACACAGAGCCUUUGUACACAGGUUUUCCAUCCAGCUACCAAGAUACUUUACGAGCCUCACUCCCCAUCUUUCUAAAGGAUUUUACUUAAAUCUCAUCUCUGUUUGGUUCUCCUCAGUCACCUUAUUUGAAUUUGCAACUUCUCUUAAUCCCAACCCCCCAAUUACCUUUCCUUCUUUUAAAUUUUCUCUUUAUUACUUGUUGCUGGGUAAGAUGAUACCUGUUUUACUUAGUUUUUAAAUUUAUUUAUUGUCAUCUCCCACACCUUCUCCAAUGUCAACAGAAUGUGAACUCCAGAAAAUAAUGCAUGUAUUUCUGUUUUAUUCUCUGUUGCAGCCCCAGGGCUUGGAACAGUACAAGUACCAUAGUAGGAGAUGAAUAAAUAUUUGUAAAUUUAAUAAAUGAAUGAGUGAGUGAAACAAUCAGCCAACUGACCAAUCAAUCAAUUUCCUCUCAGAUUAUGAUGUUGGCCAGAUGAGCCCUCUGGUGAGAAUUCUGGUUUGAGAAUUAAUAGACCUGUAAGGUAAAUAGUCUAAGUCAAAUGAUAAGAAAAUAGCAAGAGCAAAGUAAUGAAAAUGGAUGCCAUGUGACAAACCCCUAGGGACUCCAGAAAUAAUGACGUUAAAGAUGAAUCCUCAAAAGAGAGCUGAAGCCCCUGUAAGUACAGGUGGUACUCAUAAGAUAGCGAAAUUUCAUUUGCACAUUAAUAUGACAUCCUUUGUAAACAUAGGAUGGUGAAAACUGUGGUCACUUAGUGCUUAGUUUUAUAUUUGUGUGCAUGUUUAAGUAUAUUUGUAUAUGCCAAAAUAUGAGUGUACAUGUGUAUUUGUUGAAUGUUAAAACGUUAACAGUGAUCAUAUGCCAUAUCUGGGGGUGCAAUUAUGAGCAUAUUUUAAUUUUUUUAGUUUAAAUUUUUGCUAUAGCUUGCAUAAUUUACUUUUGAUGAUUCAGCAUGCACAGUGUGAAAUUAUGUGUUUUUUACCCAUGUUUUAAUCAGGAAAUUAGGGUGUUUGGAUUUAGGAUGGUUCUAAUCAGGAGGAACAUAACUUCUGAAGGGGCCAUUCUGAGUAGUUUAUUUGAUGUAAUUCCAUCCACCAUCCCACUUUCUAAUUAGCAUGACAAAUGUCAAAACAGGAUUUUUGUUGUUGAAAUGAUGAGUUAUUACUUAGCAUGAUGAAUUUUAUAAAUGGGCUGUUUUGGUGACAUUAAGAACAUUUUACAUACAGAGUUAGGUAAAAAAUAUUUUGUAGGCAAUUCCACCUAUGCAUGGAUGGAAACUAAAGUUUCUAUGUCCAACCUGUACGAGUAAUGCUACAGGCUGAAUCCCUAAAUGGUCCCGAAGCCAGCCAAGUAAUCUUGGGGAUUCUGACUGCUUGAUCCCACCCAGCCUUUAAGGCACACACAUCUUUUCUCUGGAUUUGGGUAUUUUCCCUAACUGAACAAUUAAUGUGAUCUAGUGACCAGAAAAGUUAAAAAGAUAAAAACCUGGAACUUUCUCCAGUUUACAGAAUGGGCUAUAAGACCACCUUUUAUGCCAAAUUGGUAAUAAAUACUUAGUUAGCAAAUCCCUUUUUGACUGGCAGAAUUGUGUUUCUGUGUGGCAUUGCUUAUAAUUUGGUAGGUAGAGGAGUAGCUAGCAUUCCUCCAUUGAAGACUUCUUCAGCAAGUAGCAACCUCUACCCAAAGGAAUCUAAGUCAGUUCUGGCUUAAGGCUGAUUGUAACAAACACCAUGUUUAGAAAGGAAGUGAUACAUAAAAUUCUCAUGCUAGCCAUUCACUCUCAAUAUAAAAUAAAAUUAACUUGCUGCAAGAAAUUAUUUAGGUAGCUUUUGAAAGAUAUCCAUAGUACAGGUGAGGGAGGAGGACUUUGAGUGGCUUUUCUUUGCCCAUACUGAUGCCAUUGUAGCACAUCAAUUCUUCUGCAUGAUUUGGAGAUCAAAGCAUAUGAGAAGUGUAAAAAGAACGCAUUUAAUUAAAGAUAUUAAAAAUCAUGUUAUGUCUUAAAUUCAAUUUCUUAUGUGCUAUUUCUCAGAGAACAUUAUAUCAUUUGCCUUUAAUUUCAGCCGAAAACCUAAUGCAAAAUAUAACCCGCAAUUACUGUGUAUCUAUUUAUCCAAAGACAGAUAUGGAACUGUUUCUGCUCUGAAGCUUUCUCAUUGUGCUUUGAUUUGUAUCCCUCUUUAACACAUCAUGAAACUGGAAACAUGAGUACUGUGAGCUGCAUCUUUUAUUAGUUAGGCUCUGGAUCAGUCCCUUCAAUAGAAGUAAAAUGGUAAUCUGUAUCCACUCUAACUUCAGAAGAAUUGAAUAUUAGCUCCAAUGUUUCCUUUUGCAUUCAGCAAAUACUUUAUUUAUUCUUUUGUCUACUUUAUAUAUUGAUCAUCACUUUUUUAUGUAAAUGAAUGUUUCUAUGUCCUCAUUCUUCUUUUAUUGCCUCUCUCGGGUAAUUUGAUGUGAUAGGUACUUGAUUAAAAUCAUGUUUCUACCCA